rnacentral:lncRNA from 10 species
CUGCUGCGGCUCCCGGGGCCGGAGGGAAUCUGCAGCCGGCCGGGGGCCUCCGCCAGCCUGGCUGCGCGCCGGGACUCCGCCUCGCGCCCGGGCCCCUCUCCAGCAGGUCGGCGCCCCGCGCCCUGCACCCGCCCGCCUGGGGACCGCCCGCCCCUCCUCUCCGCGCGGCCGCUCGCUGACUCCCUCGGCAGGGAUCGCUUCUGCCUCGCUGCCAAGUUUUCUCCCGCCCACCUUCUCCGCUGCCAGACCGCCCGAGCUGCCCUCAGUUUCUCCCCAAGUUGGACUCACUUUCGGGGUGUCCCACAAGCCCGAUCCCAGAGCCUGCUAGCCCGACCCCGGCGACGCCUCCACCCGCGCCUGGCCGCAGCCUCCACCCGCGCUCGCCGCCCUCCGGGGCGCACCCUCCGCCAGAAAACAGCCGGCGGGCGGCGAGACUUCGGGCAGAGUGCGGGCUCCUCUCCGGCGCCAGGCCCGUCCCCUGUCUCCCUGGGAGUGCGCAGCCUACACGCACCAGUUUCUCUUUAGAACAAGGACUGGGAGGGAUUUGCGAGGGGGCUGAAACCUUUUGCCAUCAGCGAACAGCCUCAGCCAAAAACAACCCUGGAAAGGCGAGCUAAGAAUGGUUAUCUCCUGCCAGCGCUGAAAUCGGAGGCCGGGCGCUGCGUGUGGGGUGUGUGUGUGUGUGUGUGUGUGUCUGUGUACCCUCCCACCCCGACCAUUUGUUGAAGGGAAUCACCACUGUCAGACUUCAAUCCAACAGGACCCACUCGAGCCAUCCACACUUGCCCCAGCCUCCUCCAAAACAGCACACUUUCCGGCUGAAGAAAAGAAGAAUGGUAUUCACGCAGUUCCCAUUUUACAGAUGAAAACAAGAGGACUUUUUCUGUGAAGUCAAGAAAGUGGUUACAAUGGUACUUUCAGCCUGUCCGAAUUAUGUAUUGCCCCUCCCCUUUUUAUUAAUAACAUUGAAGUGUGAUGGGACAACCACUGAAGCCGUCAGUUGAAACCUGCUGGGACUUUUUAGCCAUUCUCUUCAACAUAAAGAAUGGGUGUUUUUGGAGGGGGUGAGAGGAAUGGGGAAAUGUUGUCAAAGAGUACAAUGUUUUAGUUGAGACAGGAAGAAUAUAUUUUGUUGAGAUCUACAGCACAGCAUGGUGACUGUAGUUAACAAUGAAGUAUUGUGUAUUUCCAAAUUGCUAAGACAAUAAAUUUCAAAUGUUCUCACCACAAAAAAGAUAGGUUUUGAGGUGAUGAAUCUAUUAA